rnacentral:rRNA from 1 species
GACGAACGCUGGCGGCGUGCCUAAUACAUGCAAGUCGAACGAGAGCGACCGGUGCUUGCACUGUUCAAUCUAGUGGCGAACGGGUGAGUAACACGUGGGUAACCUGCCCAUCAGAGGGGGAUAACAUCCGGAAACGGAUGCUAAAACCGCAUAGGUCUUCGAGCCGCAUGGCUUGAAGAGGAAAAGAGGCGCAAGCUUCUGCUGAUGGAUGGACCCGCGUUGCAUUAGCUAGUUGGUGAGGUAACGGCUCACCAAGGCCGUGAUGCAUAGCCGACCUGAGAGGGUGAUCGGCCACAUGGGGACUUAGACACGGCCCAAACUCCUACGGGAGGCAGCAGUAGGGAAUCUUCCGCAAAGGACGCAAGUCUGACGGAGCAACGCCGCGUGAGUGAAGAAGGUUUUCGGAUCGUAAAACUCUGUUGUUAGAGAAGAACAAGUGCUAGAGUAACUGUUAGCGCCUUGACGGUAUCUAACCAGAAAGCCACGGCUAACUACGUG